AGAGUGGAACUGGAGGUUCUUCGUGAGCAGCGUCAAAGUGAUCACGAGGAGUUGCUAAAAGAGAAAGAGGAGCGUCAAAAAGAUCGAGAGGAGCUAUUGAAGGAGAAAGAGGAGCGGCAAAGAGAUCGAGAGGAGCUAUUGAAGGAGAAAGAGGAGCGGCAAAGAGAUCGGGAGGAAAUUACGAAGGAAAGAGAGCAGCUAAUCAAACAAGUCGAUGAAGAAAAAAAAGCACGGGAGGCACAAGGUGUACAACUCAAUCAUUUGAACGACGUGGUGUCACGACUCACAACCCUCUUGCAAGGUUCAGAUGGUCAUCCUACUAUUCGGUUUUGAGGCAUAAUCAACGCGACAUUGCAGUAGCCAACCUGGUGUUUUGAUACAUUACACAAAGGACCGUGACGUAAUUUCCAUAAGAUGGCUUUUGACAUUGACAUGUGGAUCUUCUAUUUUUUUGCCCGGAAGAUAAUUCACACUUAUGCGAAGUUGGGAAGUUUUUUGUUGUCCUAUACUUUUUGUGUGGACUGUGGAUGCAUGGAACAUAUAAUUUUUG